rnacentral:rRNA from 1 species
GACGAACGCUGGCGGCGUGCUUAACACAUGCAAGUCGAGCGGUAAGGCCCUUUCGGGGGUACACGAGCGGCGAACGGGUGAGUAACACGUGGGUGACCUGCCCUCAGCUCUGGGAUAAGCCUGGGAAACCGGGUCUAAUACCGGAUAUGACUCCAUGACGCAUGUUGUGGGGUGGAAAGCCUUGUGCGGCUGAGGAUGGGCCCGCGGCCUAUCAGCUUGUUGGUGGGGUGAUGGCCUACCAAGGCGACGACGGGUAGCCGGCCUGAGAGGGCGACCGGCCACACUGGGACUGAGACACGGCCCAGACUCCUACGGGAGGCUGCAGUGGGGAAUCUUGCGCAAUGGGCGAAAGCCUGACGCAGCGACGCCGCGUGGAGGGAUGACGGCC